rnacentral:pre_miRNA from 1 species
ACAACGUUCGGACCGUCGGUCUGCCGCCGAGCAAUAUCGUCCGCUCGAUGGAAGAUCUUCCCUUUGUCGU